UACACAGCAACGAUAAAGUCCCAGGAUGAUGAGAGGUGGUACAACUUCAACGAUGCCAGAGUCACGUUGCUUGAUAACCAGCCGUUCCAGACUGGCAAUACUGAGAAAUCCCAGAGUGUUCAUCUUCUUUUUUACAAGAAAAAGAAAAGCGCAUACUCCAAUGGAUUCUGUCAGCCUGCAAACAGAGGAGAUGUUCCUGAUCGUAAGGGUUGUGACAAGAAAAGACAGGACUCGUGGGAUUCAAAAGAAGCCAGAAAACAUGAGAGAGAUAAGAGGAAGAUGAUGAAGGUUGAGCAAGAGGAGGGAGGAAAGGAGGCAGAAGCUUAUGCCAGUGCAGAGAAGAGAGAACUGUUCUCAGUAGGAACCCCACUUGUGAAAAGAGAAGAUGAUCCGAAGUGUGAGCGUGGAAAACAGAAACCUGUUUUGAAGACAACACAGACGGGUUUCAUUCCCAACAGAUCAGAUCCUGAACACAAGCAUGAGAAAGAGGCCAGACACAGGUCCUGUGAUUAUCCUCAAGUUUGUGUGGAUGAACGUAGAGAUAAGGAAAGAAUUGAUAAACAAGAAAAGAGAAAAAACUUACCAAGGGAGGCAAAGCACCUAGGACAUGUUGGACUGGACAACGUGGAUGAUGAUGAGGGAGUUAGCAAAGGAAAGACGGGAGCUAAUAAACCGACCUCAGAGGCAGAAAACCUCAACAAAAUGCCGCCUCUGUGGCAGUGUACUUGUAUGUGAUCAGAGCCCUCCAGAUGUCAUUGUGGACAAAAAGGCAGUUGAUGAGAAGACGAGAACAGAUGAUAAAGAGGACACGGAAGGAGUUGGUGCUGGUGAGCAGGGAGACAGCAGCGGGUUGUUUGAAGGAAGCGAGCAACAGAAAGAUGAGA